AACGCACAUUGCGCCCGCCAGUAUUCUGGCGGGCAUGCCUGUCCGAGCGUCAUUUCAACCCUCGAGCCCCCCGCGGGCUCGGCGUUGGGGAUCGGCCUGGUGGCGCCCACCUGGGCGCCGGCGCCGUCCCCGAAAUCCAGUGGCGGUCCCGCCGCGGCUCCCCUGCGCAGUAGCACACCACGCACCGGAGCGGCGGCGGCGGCUGGCCGUGAAACCCCCAACUUUCUGACGGUUGACCUCGGAUCAGGUAGGACUACCCGCUGAACUUAA
rnacentral:misc_RNA from 1 species